GAUGAACGCUGGCGGCGUGCCUAAUACAUGCAAGUCGAGCGAACAGACGAGGAGCUUGCUCCUCUGACGUUAGCGGCGGACGGGUGAGUAACACGUGGAUAACCUACCUAUAAGACUGGGAUAACUUCGGGAAACCGGAGCUAAUACCGGAUAAUAUAUUGAACCGCAUGGUUCAAUAGUGAAAGACGGUUUUGCUGUCACUUAUAGCUGGAUCCGCGCCGCAUUAGCUAGUUGGUAAGGUAACGGCUUACCAAGGCGACGAUGCGUAGCCGACCUGAGAGGGUGAUCGGCCACACUGGAAGUGAGACACGGUCCAGACUCCUACGGGAGGCAGCAGUAGGGAAUCUUCCGCAAUGGGCGAGAGCCUGACGGAGCAACGCCGCGGGAGGGAUGAAGGUCUUCGGAUCGUAAAACUCUGUUAUUAGGGAAGAACAAAUGUGUAAGUAACUAUGCACGUCUUGACGGUACCUAAUCAGAAAGCCACGGCUAACUACGUG
rnacentral:rRNA from 1 species